UUCUGUAAGAGUCUGGCCCCCUUGGCUUGAUGAGGGGGGAAAGCUCCGGCUUAAAACCAGGCUCAACACUUAAAGAUGCACUGCACAAAGUGAGAGGAUGAAUGACAGUGAUGUGGCUGGUGCAAAGACUCCGGAAAAGGGGAGAUCAGGAGGUUUCGAGUGUUGAAUAUCAACAAAGAAAAAGGGUAGAUGACAAUGAGAUUUUGUCAGAGUUGUAACUUCAUCACUUGAGUUGUUCUGAUGAAAUCAGAUAGAAUCAGAUCAAUUAUUUUAAUUAUAAAAUUGAGGAUUGACUUAUUUGAAAUGUAUACAGGAAAAUGAUCUACCAAAGACCACAAGUCAGCCUUUUCACCUCAGUUGUGUCAAUAGUGUCAGUACGUGUUAGGAUUUAAUUGCGUGUCUUGUGUUAUUUGAGAUUAAGAGACCAAUCUCCUGGUCAUUUGAGUCACAAAGACAUGGGGGGUGUUUUUCUGUGCUUGAGGAAGGUCUCUAAUGAGGGAAGGAUAGCUGAAUCUCAGUCAAAAGCCAUCAGCUGGUUGCCCAGAUCAUGUGUACAAUCAGUCAGCUAAACAAUAUGUGGUGUGGUUGAAACUAAGUGCACGGGUAAAUGUCAUGGAUUUGGAUGACAGCUUCACAUGGAUUGGCAGCUUCACAAAGUCUUCUGUCAAGACUUUGUGAAGCUGCCAAUCCAGUGUUCACAACAGAGACCUAAGUAAGUCUUACAACUUCCCAGGAUGGAGAUAUGUCCAGUACCAGUCUUAUUAGUAUUAAUCUCUUGAAAUGUCUUUAAGUACCUUCAUCAGUUGCUAAUAACUGUUUCAUUCCAAAAUGUGAAUUGCUAGCCUUGUGUUUCUCUCUGAUUCUCUUUAUCUGUCUGGGAUUGUUUUUUUCUUUGUCUUAUAAUUUCUUGAUCUGUUUUCACUGAGGUUCUGUUCAUACCCAAAUUCAAUAACCAGGGCAGAGAGUCAUGAACCCUGGAGUCAUUCAGUUCAUGUUUUCAAGUGAGCAUUCCCAAAUCCAGUGGUCAAGAGACUUUCAGGAAUAGAGAACAUUCUUGGUUAAUUUUGUAUUUCACACUGUUGUUUUACUUUUGGAGAUUUUUCUCUCAUUAGUCAGAACUCAGAUAACUAUGUUCUUCUCAGAACUAUUACUGCAGUGAUGUGGAACAAAUAAAAUUACCCAUCCCAGUUUUAUGCUCAGUCUUACAAAAACUUGGACUCAUACUUAAAGAGUAUAAGGUAGACCUGUGUCAGAGCUGGAGCAAAGGUGGAUCCUUUGUCCAAACUUAAAGAAAUUUUGUUUCAAAGAAAGAUGAAAUGUUCUGGGGUGACAACAUUUUUUUUGUUUGUUUGUUUCAUCAAUCAGUAUACUCAUUUAUACCAUGCAAUCAAUUUGUAUUUGCCGUGAUUACUGGGUGACAAUAAUUAGUGUGCUUUCUUGUUGCAAUUAUUUGGAAAGAUUUAUGUGAAACAUUUGAAAUUAUGUUUGAGUUAUCUACCUCAGGGACUGAAUUAACUACGUAAUUGCUGGAGGAUUGAAAUAUAAAACCAUUCUCUUUUGAUGAGACACUCAGAAACAGGAUUUGAAGUGGGAGUGGGAGGCUCUUCAUUGACCAGUGGAACAUGUGCAUCAUCCAUCAGAAGAAAACAUCAUAUAUUUUUAUCAUUCCAGUUACAAAACACAGACCUCUUCCAGUAAGAGUUAGUUGUUUAGACUUCAUAAAAUACGUUUUCUUCUCUCUUCACUAUUAUCAAAAUCAAUUUAAGUUACUACACAGAUGACAAGUUCUCUCUGCUGAGUGAGGAGUGUGUUUCAACCUAAGAAUGAGGUCAUCCAUCCUUCAGAGAAACACGGAUCCAAGACCAUUGUAGGACACUUGGAAGUAAGAGACAAUAUAUCCAGGUAUUCAGGAGCAGCUUUCAGAAUUGUAUCCAAAGCAGGAUACUUCUGUUCUCUGAGUGCUGAAUUGUCAUCCUUGUGAAUAUGAGUCCCUUGUGCAGUGAAGCUCUAGCUCUAAUUUUGGUAAAAUAUGCAAACUUUCUUGGGUGCUUGCAACCCAGACUCUUCUGCAAAUCUUUAACUGAUUUGCUGUUACUCACAUUGGUUUCCAAGAGACUGCUAUGGCUGUACUUAAAGCCUGUCUUCAAAACACUUGGGGCCAUGGAACUGCAGCUUUCUCUUUCUUAUAACUGCUUUCAAGCCUUGCAGAUGAAUUCAUGAAUGUAAACAUAUGUACAUUGUCUAUGCAAUAAUUAGAACAGCAUUUUUGUGAUCUUCACCUAAGCUAAAAUUACUGUGAAAAGUGUACAGCCUCUUAUUUACUUAUCCUGACUCCACAAGAUAUUGGCCAGCAGAACUGGGCUGGUUUAAUUUUCCAGCAAAUUACAGGAGUUUUUCUGGCUGAUACAGUUUAGAGCAAAGGAGGCUUGAGAGAGAAGCUAAAACUUCUUGAUUUAGAAAUUCCAUUUAGAGACAACUCAAAGUGAACUGUGCUUCUGCACUGACCACUACUUAAAAGCUAAAAACAAGCAUUCAUAUUAACUGCUGUGGGACACACUUCUACCAGCCAAACUUCCACAGAAAGUUAAAGAUGAACUAUGAUAUAGGUGUCUAGAUCAGCAUCAAUCCUCAAACCUACAUGCAAGGUUUUCCUUAAGAGCACAACCUAAUUAUUAAUUGGCAAAGAGCUGCAUAAAUUACUUUCAAAAGUAAUCUGGUGGCAAAUUAUGCAAUUAAACAAAACUGUCAUGCCAGGAUGGCGUAACAAGCUGUGAUUAGGAGUAAAAAGUUAAAUUGACAUCAGAGUUAAUGUAGAUAACAUAUUUUAUCAUGUUACACGAGCAGCGGGCGCUUCAGGAAGGCAGAUGACAGCAUAAGGCUCAAAACAGAAAGGGGCACAGAAGUUUUAGGUGGUGUGUACUUGCAGCACAGUGAGAUGCUGUCACUCAGAGGACUAAAAAAGAACGUGUGUGUAUUAGUGAGGGACUGAAAUCAAUCAAGAGUAUAUGAUACAUCUUGGGUUCUGCUCUCAAUUCAGCCGCCUGUGAGCAAGUUGCUUUCCCAGUUGUAACUCUGCAGAUUUGUGAUAGUGAUGGAGUUGUCUGACACUUGUAUGCAAAAGUGUUUGCAGUUUGAGAUCCUCUCUGUGCAAGGGAACACAUGUAUAAAGCAUCAUUAUAGGAGUUUUUCAUGUCACUCUGGAGCCUACCAAUCUUCCCAGUCAUUUUAACUGUACUUCACACACAUUAUCCUCUAAUUGAUUCCCCCAGUCAAUAUAGGGUAUAGAUUUUGACUUUCAACUGUCUCUGCUUCACAGAACUAAAUAAUGAAGAAGCAGAAAGCAAUAUUGAGCCUCAGGAAUUUGACGCUCCAAGGAGGUUUAAAUCAAAAUUUUAAGAGGGAAAAUCAGUGAAACAGAGAAGUAGGAAGUGUUGAUAUGGUAAUUCUGCAGUGAGGAUGGAGCUCUGAUAAGUAAUUUGUGUUUGUGUAAUGGCCUCAUUCUCUACAGUGUUUGUGUGCUGUUAUUGGUAAAUAUUUCAGAAUAAUGACUCAGUGAAGCUAAUCUCACCUUUUUAUCUAGAAGUAGAACAGUCAGACGCAUGAAAUAAUUUUCAAAAAUGAACCUAAAUAAAUAGUCUUCACUGCAGUUUGUCUUUGUGGAGUGGUUUUCAUUUCUUCUUCCUUUUCAGAAAGAAAAAUAGUUUUUACUUAUCUGAGUAGAAAGCACAAAACUGGCAUGUUCCUUACUUACAAAAAGUCAAUCUGACACUGCCUCAAGCAUUUAACUUUGCUUUCAUUUAUCCUGCUUGCAAAAUAUAAUUAUUUAUAAUUUUAGAGACACAAAUAUAUGUUGUAAUGCAUUUUCUACUUGAAUAGAAGGAUGCAAACUUUAAAAGGUUCUAGAAAGAUGUAGCUUCUGUAUGUAGGGGAUGAUUAUGGGGAUAAUUCUGAAGCAGUUCCUCAAUCACAAGACAGUUAGAAAUGAUGGGCCUGUUAUUUCAGACUAUUUAAGCAAGAUCUCCAUCAGAGGUAGCACUUGUAAAACAUGUAAGUUUCUUGAUCUUUUCAGCAUUUAUUCUGCACUAAGCGACAAACCAGAAAAUUAUAGAUUCUUAUAUGAAUUGUCACUUUCUAUCACGCUUUGAAUUUACUUUGUCUAAAACUGAAGCUUAAAGAGCAAUACCUAAGUAAACAGGUUUGAAGUGCUGACUUCUACAUAUCCGUGAAUAAAUAAUACAAUAAAAUAUCUUCCCACCAUUUUCAUGGUAAACUCAAACUGAAGAUUUUCAUUGUCUUCAUUUUCCUCAAACUCUUAGGCCAAUAAUUUAGAUUGAGUCCUAUUAAGCAUAUUUUUCAAAUACCAGAAGUUGUUUUGUUACAAAAUUAUAUACAUUUUUUUGCAUAUUUUUGUGUGCCUUGGCUCAGAAUCCUUUCUGUCACUUAGCCAUCACAGAGAACUUUUGUUCUAAUUUAUAAUUCAAAGAGAUGCAGAUACCAAUAGCAGCAAAAAUUCUUCUUCUUUAACCCACCCACACAAAUGUCUUUAUGUGUAGGGGGUAACAUCAUCUAUUGUUAAAAUUCUGCAGCAGGAGAGAAACUUCCUACAGGAGCCUAUUUACAAUUGCUUCUUAUUUAAAAAAAGCUUUAUUGUUGGGACUGAAGUUUUCUGUCCUGUGUGAAAGAAGGUGUUAAGGCCAAAGAGUUGGGCUCUGACCCAUUUUGGGUUAAGAAACUGGAAGUGGCAUGACAGAUGUAGGAAUUGAAGGCUGGGGUUUGGCAGUUAAAGGGAACAGGGAUAAGGUGAAGAAACGGGAGUAGGAAAGAGGAAAAUUGAAAGGACAAGGCAAAGAUGACCAGUCUUUGGAGUAACAGGAACUCUGUGCCCUACCUAUGAAGCUUGGAACAGAACAUAAGUUGUCUGCUUGUUUCCUUUUUCAUCAGCAAAUAUGUUUAAAUCCUCUGGAAAAAUGUCUGCUUCAUUUAGUUAUCUUUCACACAUAUGAUGACAAACAGUCACUUUCUUAUUUCAUUAAUUCACGUGGCAAAACUCUGUAUGGUGGUUUGAAAUAUUUCAGAUGACUCAUGUCGUUGCCAACAUGAGAUUCUGCUCUUGUUUUCUCCAUUUGUUUUCAAACAGAAGAAAUUACAUGUACAAAAUUACAUUCAAGGAUUAUUGGGUUACUCAGAAUUUAGAAAUGCCAGACUUAGAGCUAAUAACCACACAACUUUUGGUGAGAUUUCAACUCAUUUCACGAGUCUUUAAUUACUUUAUUUUCUUGCCCUUUUCUAAAGCAUGGUCAAAAAGUUGUUUUUGAAUGUUAACCACACCUAGUGGGAUUACAGAACUACUUCAGCCAUGGUUUUUGGUAAUAGUUGUGAUCAUCUCACAGAUAGUGAUUCAUUUUUCCAGUGUUCUGUGAUGUGAGGGUGUUUCACUCCUAAUAUUGCUACAUUGCUCACAAGCCUUUCUUAGCAAUUGUUUUCUUGACAGAUAUUCAAUUUUAUUUUCUAGCUUCAAAAGCUCAGUUUUGAUUCUCAUUUCUGGUGCUGAAGGUGAGUUUGUUUUCCAUCUCUGAACACUACUAGAUUGGGGAUGCUGUAAAGAGAACCAUUUUCCACAGCCCUUCUGUCUUUGGCUGAAAUUAGAAAGCCUUAUUCAGUUUCAAAUCCCUUUUCACUUCAGCAGUGGAUACAAGCAGCAGUUGUCCAAAAUAAACAGAUGAUCCAAAGGAAAAAUAAAAAAUAUAUUCUUAUUAUGAACACCUAACAUAGUUUAUCCUCUGGUAAGAUGGCUCUGAACAUUAAAGGGAUACAGACUGCUAAUAAUAACUAGAGGUUUAAUGGUUUUUAUGUCUUUGAGACAGCUACAGGUCUUUCAACUUAACUACAUUUGCACAAUAAUUAUUAAAAUGCAACUGUUAUCUCUUAAUCUUAUGUAAUCUUUACGUAUCCCUCAUUCUCAGAGCACCUGAUUACCACACAAUCUGUAACUAAUGGAAUUGCUCUGGGUGACAGACUGGACCUCUGAAGCUGGGCCAGGUGAGCCAUGGGUCAGAUCUUCACCUCCUCAGUCCUGCCUUGGUGAAAUGAUCCCCAGCUACAUCUCACAGGAGGGAUUCACUUCAUCUGUGUUAGUCUCAGUAAUCAGAUGUUCUCUUAGAAAUUGGAUGAAGCUAUAAGAUGUAUUGUAUCUGUUCAUCCUAACCAUCUUCUCAUCAUUCUUCCAUACUUGGAAUUUCCACCAGGGAUUUUGACAGGCAUUGUUUCUCUGUUGCUACUGAAGUGGAAUGCAUCAGUGCAGCUCAUUGUCAUGGGCAUGAUGCACAUCUCAAGAAGAGAAGUCAAAGCAGAAUCAAGCUAAACUACCUUAAUUUACAGUAGCAUUGUUGUUUGUCUUAUGGAAACAAAUGUAAUUACUUCACUUGUCUGUUGCUGUCUAUUUCUCGCUUUUACUGGUGCCAAAAUAAUCAACUUUCACAUGAUGGCUGGCUUUCUCUGGUUGGAUUUACUAAAGGUAGUAGAGACAUCUGUACAAACUUGGAAGCAGAAGAUUAAGUUCUAUUCUUUACUGUUCUUUCACUUGUUACAUGCUUUUGGGAAAAUGAUAUUACCCACAUGCUUGGUGGCUUCAUCCAUAAGAUCAAUAUCAAGCCUUUUUUUCACAAUGCUCUGAGGUUACUAUAAAUUUCAGUAACAGAAUAUAGUUAUUACCAUAUUAGACUGAAAAUCUUCUACUUUACCAUUCCUUAUUAUUACUAUAGUUCUUCCAUCAGUAGCAAACAUUCUCGGUUUUCAUCUUGCUAAAAAUAUUCAUAUUUUGUUUUGAACCUCAUUACAUUCAGUAUGUAUUAAAUUUAGAAUAAAGCAUUUAACAUUUAUUCAAAAAAAUUGGAAAAUCUGUAUUCUACAAUUUUUUAAAUGACUGUUGUUUAGGUUGGUUUUGGUGUGGGGGGUAUGGUUUGGUUUUUUCUGUAACUAAAGUUGAAUUUAAAGGCUAACAAAAAGAUCUGCUGAAAAAUUGCUUUUCCAUUGGUAUAAUUGAGACUCCAUCCUGGUGGAGAAAAGCCAAGUCUUAAUUGUUCAUGGAAUAACUGUCCAAAUAGUGUAAAUUUGUGAAAGCAAGGCAGCCAAGGCCUGGUUGGUGUUCAGCCAUAAUUACAUAAUCUGAAUUAUACAAAGCAAGGGAUCCUCAGAUGAAGAAAAAAACUGCAAGAGCUUGUCUUGGAAGUUCUGGAUGGAUUCCUGAAGAGCUUGAGCCUAUGAGCAGAGCAGUGUGUGGGUAAUUGAGGUGUACAGUCAGUGGAAAAAGAGCUGAAGAAAGGCCGAAGUCACCACAUCAAUUUUGGUCAUGGAUGUUUCCUAGCAGCCUGUGUUGAUUCACUUCAUGCCAGGAAGUUUUCCAAAGCAGCACACAGAUGUUUUUCCCAAUCAGCUGGUUCCAUUAUUGGGGAAUGCUUCCAUCUUGCACAUGUACAGCCGUGUAAACAUAAAUAUGGUGUGAAGCCUUUUUGCUUCAGAGCCAGUGCAGUCACUGUUAGCUGUGAGUGCACAGGUAUGACUGUGAUUUCACGUGAUUCUUUUUAUUGUUGGGCUUUAAAUCAGCAUUUGUAUCGAUGUAAAGAAAGAUAAGAAGAAAAAAAGAUGAAUUUCAAUGUUUUGUUGGUUGGGGUUUUUUUGAGUCACUGCUUGCUAUUUUGUAGUCAAAUUGUAUUUUAAAUUUUACAUUCAAAAUGUUCAGGCUGAGACACAAGCACUGCACUGCCUGUUCCAAUGGAAAUUUGGGGUUUUUAUCUUGUAAUAGGCCUAAAAUUCAGACUUUUUAUUACACUAGACAUUUUUACAUUAGAAGCUCCCACUCUAAAGUCUAAUAUCUUUUCUGUUUCAGAAUAAUGCCUAUAGGAAAUCUGUAAUGUUUUUAUAUUACUGCAAUUUAUUCUCAGAAAGUCUCAAAUCUUGUUUAAAAAAACAACAAACAACCAAUAAUUGUGAUUAUAUAAACAAAUAAAAUCAGCAUCCUAUACAAGACCAAACAUAAGUAGGAAUCCACCUAACAUAACAGCUUUCCACAUUAUCUGUUGGGUGUAGGAAUUUUGAAAUCCUAACUGUUCUACAAAAAGAACCCUUAUAUCUGGAAAUUGCCCAUGUUUUUUAGCAGAAUGUGAAUGAGGUGAUCCUGUGAGGAGCAGGUCUCCAUGAGUUUAUGGGUCCCUUCCAAACAGAGAUAUUCUGUGGUUCUGUGCUAUCAGCAAUAUGGAAAUAUUUGGUUUUAAGUGUAAAAAACUUUGUGGGCUUUCUUUUGAAAUAAUGCAGCGUCAUCUCACUGAUUUAAGUCUUGCACCAAUUAUUAUAAUAACUUUCCAAUUAUUGUAAUAACUUUUAAAAAGGUCAUCCUCCACAAAGGAAUGCACAAGGAAGGGAAAUAACAAGUGUGCUGCCUCACUGCUGCAAGCCUACACAAAAGAAAACCUGGCCUGACAGUCAGGAGGGUGCUGGUGCAUUACUUCUCUGGAAAUAACAGAUGCUUCACUGUCUAUUCAUUUUAGAAAAUAAUCCAUUCAGCUCAUAAAUCAAGGGCUGAAAUGUAUUUAGAAUAGUGGUAACAAAAUCAGUCCCCUGCCAUGAGGUCACUCUUUGGUGAGUCACCAUCGAGUCCCAGAGACGUCAUCCUGCUCUUCCCAACAGGUAAUCAUGGCAAACAGGAAAGGGACCAGUGGAAUUGUAAUUAUCAGAGUUGCUGUAUAUAUUGAGGGGGCUUUUAACUUAUUUUGGAAGCUACCAAAGUGUAUGAACUAAGACCACUAACCAAGCAGCAUUGAUGUGCUAGAAGCAUAAGUGAUUCUUUUUUCAAGUGUUUUUAAGUUCAUUAUUCCCCAGUUACUGUGACUCAAGAUGAUUCCUGAGAACAGCUGAUUUCCUUCAUUUCUGACUUUCAAGCCAACUGAGGGCCACAAGAAUAAUCAUAGAAUAUCCUGACUUGGAAGGCCCCACGAGGACCAUUGAAGUCCAGCUACUGAAUUUAAAGUGGAUUUGGAGUGGCACUGUUUUCCCUGGAGGACAGAUACAGCUCUAGAGCUCCUUUUUAUGAAACCCACCAUGCCUCGAGGGUGGCCUGGAACCACAGCCCUGGGAAACAGCACACACCCUGAACCUGCCCGUUCCUGACAUUCCAGAGGGGAUGAACACCCCCAGCUCUCUGCAGAGUGGCUGUAAGGAAUUCUUCCAAGUUCCCCCUUAACUCCCUUCCAUGUUGAUUCUGGCCCUGAGAUAGAGAAGCUGCAGGUGGUAUUUGCUUAUUCAGAUUAGCAGAUGACAUGCAGACAAAACAUGCCCUAUUAACAGGAUAUAUUGACAGAGCCUUUGGAAGGAGCUCAUUUAAAAAGCACAAAUAUUGCUUAAUAUUAAACAGCUUCCAUGAUUUUCUCCAGCAUAGAUAUUUGAGUGGGCAGGGGACCAGUUCUGCUGUAUCUCAGUUGUGAAUGGAGGGGGAUGAGGACUUUGACCAGAUAGAAUUUAGGCCUCUCAUUCGGUCCAAAUCCACCAGUAUCCAUUUCUGCUGAGCUCAGGAAAAUGUGCACCUCCCUAUACAGCUUUCUCUGUCUUCCUGCCAAUGUUUUAGUGACCUGCUGCUCUGGACCAGUGAGCUCAGACAUCUGAGGAGGGGGAAAAGGAAGGUGUAAAUACAAAGCUGGAGAAAAAGGGUGAAAAUGAGAAGUGAUGCUGCCUUUUUGGGCAGCAGUGAAAAUAUUGGACUGCCUGACUGUAUCACAAUGUGUCACUUGUGGGAUUUAUGUUGAUUUUAGCUUCUAUGAUUUGUGAAAGGGGCUAUAAGAGGUUAUAGUAUUAAGUAUAAUAAAUGUGCUAAGUCCUCUUUUCAUUUUCCAUAGGUACUGACAAUCUUUUCUAGAUGAUCAAACCGCUAAUAAAAUAAAGUGAAAU